rnacentral:tRNA from 1 species
AAAGUUCUAGUAUAAAUUAGUAUAAUUUAUUGUCAAUAAGUAGGUUAGUAACUUUA